GUGAGGAAUUUUCCGCAAUGGGCGAAAGCCUGACGGAGCAAUGCCGCGUGAAGGAUGAAGGCCUAUGGGUUGUAAACUUCUUUUCUCAGAAAAGAAUUAUGACGGUAUCUGAGGAAUAAGCAUCGGCUAACUCUGUGCCAGCAGCCGCGGUAAGACAGAGGAUGCAAGCGUUAUCCGGAAUGAUUGGGCGUAAAGCGUCUGUAGGUUGUUUAAAAAGUAUUCUGUCAAAGAUUAGGGCUUAACCCUAGAUAGGCAGAAUAAACUUUUAAGCUAGAGUUUGGUAGAGGCAGAGGGAAUUCCCGGUGGAGCGGUGAAAUGCGUAGAUAUCGGGAGGAACACCAAAGGCGAAGGCACUCUGCUGGGCCAAUACUAACACUGAGAGACGAAAGCGGGGGGAGCAAAUGGGAUUAGAAACCCCUGUAGUCC
rnacentral:rRNA from 1 species